rfam:Heligmosomoides polygyrus genome assembly, scaffold: HPBE_scaffold0001370
GCACGGAUGGCCGAGUGGUCUAAGGCGCCAGACUCAAGCGUACACUUGCCGCGAGAUCAGCGGGCUGAGCGUUCUGGUACUCGUAAGGGUGCGUGGGUUCAAAUCCCACUCCGUGCA